GGCUCGACGGUCGCUCCGAUACGCCAUGUGAACGUUACCAAUCUGUUGCCUCGGCGGGAUUCUCUGCCCCGGGCGCGUCGCAGCCCCGGAUCCCAUGGCGCCCGCCGGAGGACCAACUCAAACUCUUUUUUCUCUCCGUCGCGGCUUCCGUCGCGGCUCUGUUUUACCUUUGCUCUGAGCCUUUCUCGGCGACCCUAGCGGGCGUCUCGAAAAUGAAUCAAAACUUUCAACAACGGAUCUCUUGGUUCUGGCAUCGAUGAAGAACGCAGCGAAAUGCGAUAAGUAAUGUGAAUUGCAGAAUUCAGUGAAUCAUCGAAUCUUUGAACGCACAUUGCGCCCGCCAGUAUUCUGGCGGGCAUGCCUGUCCGAGCGUCAUUUCAACCCUCGAACCCCUCCGGGGGGUCGGCGUUGGGGAUCGGCCCCUCACCGGGCCGCCCCCGAAAUACAGUGGCGGUCUCGCCGCAGCCUCUCCUGCGCAGUAGUUUGCACACUCGCACCGGGAGCGCGGCGCGGCCACAGCCGUAAAACACCCCAAACUCUGAAAUGUUGACCUCGGAUCAGGUAGGAAUGAGCAAUGAACUUAAGCAUAUCAUUAAGCGGAGGAA
rnacentral:rRNA from 1 species